rnacentral:rRNA from 1 species
CUAUGCGCCUUGCCAGCCCGCUCAGGUGUGCCAGCCGCCGCGGUAAUACGGAGGAUGCGAGCGUUAUCCGGAUUUAUGGGUUUAAAGGGUGCGUAGGCGGGCUGUUAAGUCAGCGGUCAAAUGUCCGGGCUCAACCCGGGCCGGCGUUGAAACUGGGGAUCUUGAGUGGGCGAGAAGUAUGCGGAAUGCGUGGUGUAGCGGUGAAAUGCAUAGAUAUCACGCAGAACUCCGAUUGCGAAGGCAGCAUACCGGCGCCCGACUGACGCUGAGGCACGAAAGCGUGGGGAUCGAACAGG